rnacentral:rRNA from 1 species
AUUGAACGCUGGCGGCAGGCCUAACACAUGCCAGUCGAACGGUAACAGGAAACAGCUUGCUGUUUCGCUGACGAGUGGCGGACGGGUGAGUAAUGUCUGGGAAACUGCCUGAUGGAGGGGGAUAACUACUGGAAACGGUAGCUAAUACCGCAUAACGUCGCAAGACCAAAGAGGGGGAGCUUCGGGCCUCUUGCCAUCGGGUGUGCGCAGAUGGGAUUAGCUAGUAGGUGGGGUAACGGCUCACCUAGGCGACGGUCCCUAGCUGGUCGGAGAGGAUGACCAGCCACACUGGAACUGAGACACGGUCCAGACUCCUACGGGAGGCAGCAGUGGGGAAUAUUGGACAAUGGGCGCAAGCCUGAUGCAGCCAUGCCGCGUGUAUGAAGAAGGCCUUCGGGUUGUAAAGUACUUUCAGCGGGGAUGAAGGGAGUAAAGUUAAUACCUUGGCUCAUUGACGGUACCCGCAGAAGAAGCACCGGCUAACUCCGUG